UACGUAGGGUGCAAGCGUUGUCCGGAAUUAUUGGGCGUAAAGAGCUUGUAGGCGGUUUGUCGCGUCUGCUGUGAAAUUUCGGGGCUCAACCCCGAACUUGCAGUGGGUACGGGCAGACUAGAGUGUGGUAGGGGGAGACUGGAAUUCCUGGUGUAGCAGUGGAAUGCGCAGAUAUCAGGAGGAACACCGAUGGCGAAGGCAGGUCUCUGGGCCGCAACUGACGCUGAGGAGCGAAAGCAUGGGGAGCGAACAGG
rnacentral:rRNA from 1 species